CCUACGGGGGGCAGCAGUGGGGAAUAUUGCACAAUGGGGGAAACCCUGAUGCAGCGACGCCGCGUGAGUGAAGAAGUAAUUCGGUAUGUAAAGCUCUAUCAGCAGGGAAGAAAAUGACGGUACCUGAGUAAGAAGCCCCGGCUAACUACGUGCCAGCAGCCGCGGUAAUACGUAGGGGUCAAGCGUUAUCCGGAUUUACUGGGUGUAAAGGGAGCGUAGACGGCAGUGCAAGUCUGGAGGGAAAGGCGGGGGCUUAACCCCCGGACUGCUCUGGAAACUGUACGGCUGGAGUGCAGGAGAGGUAAGUGGAAUUCCUAGUGUAGCGGUGAAAUGCGUAGAUAUUAGGAGGAACACCAGUGGCGAAGGCGGCUUACUGGACUGUAACUGACGCUGAGGCUCGAAAGCGUGGGGAGCAAACAGGAUUAGAUACCCGAGUAGUC
rnacentral:rRNA from 1 species